CCCAAGGGGCUACGCAGAUUGGCUGAACCCGGGGAAUCGCUGGGAUCCUAUUUGACGUUAAAACUGCCUCCGAAAUCUAGCUGGAACUAGUCUGAAGCGGCGAGGUACGCUGCGGUUUGGGUUACGAGUGUUAGGCGUGAAUGGUGGUGCUCAGCGCUUUCUAGCUGCGCUUUAUUGUCUGAAGUAAACCGUGUGGCCUUUGCUCGUGCGUUUAAUCAAUGCCUGUUAGAUAACUGUGCCUACUGGUGGGCGAGGGCCUGAGCAGACUGAUCUGGAAGAGCCCCCUCAUCUGCCGCCUGGCGCGGCUGGGAGAAGCCGAGCCUUAGGGUUCUUCCUAAGGGAUCUGCAGGAUUUAUCUUCUAUCCUCUUUUCUCUCUCUUGCUCACCUACUCACCAUCGCCUUCCAUUCAGUGUGCGGGGUAAGUUCAUCCAGUGUUAUGAAACGAAAAAAAGCUUGGCGUUAAAAUAAGAAAAUCCUUACUUCAAAUCCCAACUGUAUCUUUUAUUAGAUUUGUGAACCUUGAACUGGUUGCUUAACCUUUCUGAGUCUGCAUCUUCAUUUUUAAAGCAAUAGCUGCUUCAUAAAGUUGUAAAUAUGUUCACAGUUGUCUCUCUGUUACAAAGGCAAGUAUUAGCCACUUCUUUCAUGACUUUAGCUAUCAACAUCUUUAGCCCUUAACUUCGUACUGAGCUUAAAAUCUUUAUUUCUAGCCUCCUAUCAGAUAAUCUAUCUUGAGUUUUACACGUACAACAUCUAUCAACUAGAUUCCCUCCUAGGUAGGUGUUAGAGAUUUAAACAAUAGAGUCCCGCUCUUGAGGACCUUAAAGUCUGACCAAUAACUUCUAUACAAAGUGUUUCAAGUAUUUGAAGUUGCAGGUCUUAAUUCAGCGUAAGAAAUUUAGGGAAGGCUAUCAAGCUGUGGUACAUCUGUUUCCACUGGUUUUAGCAUGUUGUAUCUUACUAUAUUUCACUGUAUGCUAUAGUAUAAACAAAAUCCUUUAUAGGCAAAGAGGUAAUAAAGAAACAGUUGUUCAUUUUCUAUUAGCUGGUUCUAAAUACCCUGUAAUUCUUGCAUUCUCUUGAAAGGCUUCACACUGUCUUGAUAUGCUUGAUGUUAUAGCAUAUGAAGUUACACUCAAAUAAUUCAAGGAAAAAGGCACUGUGGCGACUACUAUUAUGUUAGAUUAUCUGGUGGUGAAACACGAUGAUGCUUGAAUGGUUCGGUUUUGCCCUGCGUUGUUCUGUUACAAUGUCCUCUCUUAUCGCAAUCUCCCCUCUUUUUUUUUAAAUUAAUCUAUUUUCUCUCAUUUUUUUAAUUAAGGGAAAACUAAAUUAAAAAUAGCGGCACAUAUUAUAGUAACUUUCUUGGUUUUCCUAUCAACCUGAUUUGAACCCCAGUAUUGCUCUCCCCAUCUUGUUCUGUCUGUAUUCUAUAUUCUAUUUUGUUUGAUAGUAUCAAGUUUGAGGGUAUAGGCAACCACUUUGAAGGCAAUAAGAUAUAUUAUGAUGCCCAUUAUGGUUUGACUAUUAUCCUUUUUUUUGAAGUCCUGCAAGGUCUUCAGCGUAGGUUUUAUUGGUCUUGUUCUGUACUGUUUUGAUCAAUUCUAUUAUACCUGAUGAUAUAGACAACUCAGUUUAAAAAUAGCAAGAGGCACACUUGCUUUUGAUAACCACUUUUGAUCACCUGGUAUUCUAUUUUUGCAUUGUAUGCUAUGCCCACCCUUCUGUUCUAACUGACUCUGUUUUGCUUAGUCAAAAAAAGUAAUAAGAACCGUGGGAGUAAUAAAACCCAAAAAGUCUAAUUGUUACUGUAAAAAAGAGAGGAAAGGAAGGUGGACUAAGGGAUAUAACCGCAGGUACGUUUGAGUAUGUAGGAUGGAAAACUGUAUUACUGAGCUUUUGUUGGAUCAUUGAACGGAACUGUCUCCAAUUUCACUGUAUGAAUGUCCACUUUAUAUGCUUUAAUUUUGUAAUUUGGACUACUGUUUCUGGGAAGAUAAUAUGUAACCUAUUAAUUGGUGAUUUCUUACUGUAUAUUUUUUUCUUGAAAUACUGUAUUUGUACCUUUUUACUGCUUUGUUUUUUUAUGUCCUUUUUUUCUCUUUAAAUAAAAAAAAAGAAAUUUAGGGAAGGCUUUCUGGAAAUUUCAUAAGCUGAGGCUUAAAGAAUGAAUAAAAUGUUAAUGUCAUAAAUGAGAAAGAAAUUCUGCAGAAGAAAUAGCGUAAGCAAAAGCAUUGAGGUGAUGCAACAGUGGUUCUAAAUUCCUAGAAAAUUUAAGGAAACUUAUGCAGUACUCUCCUUAAACAGACAGAUGAGGCUACGGUGAAAGGCAAAACUUGAUCUUCAUCUUGUAUAUACUCUAAAAGGAAUAGAUAAUACAAUUAGUUUUGAAAAAUUAUAAAGAGUUUCUUAGAAGAAACACAAACUGUGAAUACAUACCUGAAAAGGUGCUUAACCUUGUUACUGUUUUGUUUAUUGUUUUAUUUUUUAACCAGGAAUUGAACUCAGGACCUGGUGCUUGCCAGGCAGGCACUGUGCCACUGAGCCGUAUCACUGGCACUUGAUUUUGUUACUUGUAGAACUCAGAAAAUGCAAAUUAAGGUCACAGUAAAGUAGUAUUUUUAAAAUUUACUUUUAUUUUUGCAGCACUAGGGAUCUAAGCCAAGGCCUCCCACAUUCUAGGCAGAUCCUCUGCAACUGAGUUACAUUCGCAGUGUUUUUAAUUUUGAGCCAAGAUCUCCCUAAAUUGCCCAGGUUGUCCUCAAAAUUGCAAUCCUCCCACAUCAGCCUGCUGAAUAGCUGGGGUUGUACCAUCUCCACCUAAAUAGUAUUUUAUAUCCUGUAGUUUUGUACAAAUUAAGAAAUUCAGUCAUAAUGUAGUUGUUAGUAAUAAUCUGUUACUCUAGAAUCCAUACUAGACCAGUCAUUUCAGUAAUUUUUCUAUUGUCACAGUUUGGAAAUAGCAUCUUUAGACAUUUCAGGUGUGUUUGUGUAUUCCAGUUUGUUAACUCUGAAUCUUAAGUCAAAAAUUAAUACUGUGGAUAUGAUCUAACUAUUUCAAAACAACAAUUAAAACACAAACAAAAUUCCUGACCAUCACUUUCAUAUAUCCCAACAACCAAAAAAAUCUGAUAUGUUCAACCUGAUCUGCUGUGAGGCUGGUGUGUUCUACUAGUGAAGAAACCUAGCUAACCAUGUCAUUUGCUUUCCAUAUUUUAAGUUUAUUUGCAGUAUUUUAUGGGAUAUAUGUAUAUGUGUGUGUGUGUAUUCACGAAUUAAAAAUUUACAGAGCUCUAAAAUGUAUUCUUCCCAAUCCCUAAGACCCCUCUACCCAACCUCAUGUACAUAUGCCUCUUUUUAUGAUAGUCACAUACUUUAAAACUGUAUAGGAUGUUUUUUCUCUGUUGACAAAGGUUCCCUAACAUUGGUAAUCAUGAAUAUAAAAUAUUUUUAAGGGAGGACAUGUUAAUGGUUCAUAAUUAAUCUAGACAGUUGGAGUAAAAUCCAACUGAAAGAGGUUUAAGUUAUCUUAAGAUACAUAAUUAGGUGUAAUGUAACUAAUAUGUUUGGGGAAUGAUUAAAUUUAAAUUUAAAAAAAAGUUUACAUGGGAAUCCAAAAUGUAGGCUUUGAAAUCAUAUCGCUUAAAUAACCUUCAAAGGCAUUAUAAAUUAUUUGAUCUCUUCACAUGAAACAGUCAAAGGAUACAGAAGAAGCCAGAUAAAGUUGCAGGAUAAGAAAAAACUGUAAAAUGUAUCCAUUUCUUCUUCCAUUUCUUCAAAAUGGUUUGAAAGCAUGUUUCUGCUCUUUGUAUCUAUCUCAUAAUCCAAUAAUGUUCAUACUUUCUCUGCCUUCCUGAUAUUCUAAACUCUGUUUUUGGUUCUGUUGCACUGACACUUCGAGAUCACAAACUAGUCUAUUUUUUUCCUUUGAUUCAUGCAGACAAGUCCAAAGAAAAUUGUAGGAUUAAUUCAACUUGUAUUAAAAUAUUUGGAACACUGAGAAAAUACUGCUUCAUAUCCACUCUAGUGUGGGUCAAGAAUCAAAGUAUCAAGAAGAUAAAUAAAUAUUUCCUGCUUCACUUUAACAAUUAUGGUGCAAUUAUAAUAUUCCCACAUAGGUAAAACCUUUCAAGAAAAGAACUAAUAUUUUAAUAUCUUCUUCAAACAUCUUCCUAUUUAUAUUAUGCUUUAUAUUUUUUCCACUGAGGACUAAGGGGUGAAGGAUGGAGAAAAGAAAAAGAAAGUACUGUUUUAUCAUCUCUCUCCAUUUCUCUCCUUAUCACAUUAACUUUCCUUCUCUUUUAUUUGAGUCAUUAAUUUAUAAGUAAAAUAUUUCAUGUACUAUCUGUUGUCUGUUGUCACUAAAAGAAUGAUUGGAUAUGAACUGGAAGUUAACCUAAAUAAAGAAUAGUCCGGAGUGGGGAAUUAUUUAGGGUUCCUAAUCAAAAGUUAUUUUGAAGAUUAGGAUGAUCAAACUGGACUAAAAAUGAAAUAUGGCUAUAAGUACGAAGCCUAAUUUUCUUGUGUAAGUUAUGAAGUAGCUCUGUAACAUCUCAGAGAGCACCAAUAGUAUGUUGCACAACUGUUAAAAUGACGAUAGCUUCGUCAUUAAUAAUGGAACUUAAGAAAAAGUCAUUUUGCUGUACAUGGUAAUUUAAUUUCAAAAACAGCUCUAUAUGGCCACUUCUGGUAGAAUGUGAGUGACAAUCAGAUAAAUAAAGCAAAGAAUAAGUACACAUAUUUGGAUUUUUGUAUACUGUAUUUUUAUACAUAGGUAAUGCAUUACAUUUUAUUCAUUCAUUCAACUAUUGUGUAUUGACCAUGACUCAAGCAUAUAUAAGAUGCAAUGAAUACAAGUCCAAGCACAGAUACUUUCUGCAAAGAAACCCAUACUUGAAUGUACAGGUUUAUAUUACUAGGAAAGCCAAAGGUUAAAUAAAAAUAUGUAUUUUCCAGAGGAUAAACAUGAUUUAAUGAAAUGUUAUCAUGCAACUAUAGAACUUUUUAAAGAAAUGACUGAUACUGUAGUAAAUAUUUGUUUUAUAGUCAAAGAAUAUAUGACUGAAAAGAACCUUAGACAUUUAUCAAAUCCAGCAUUUUAUAACUUUAGGCAAUAUAUCCAUCAAUGUGAUGAAUAAUCAAGAUUAGUUGGCAAGUUCUAUUCUAAAUUUCCUCAAAAAUGAUAAAUUUUAUACUACUGAAAUCCAUCUAUUAAAUUCUGACAUUUCCCCAUAGGAAUCAAAAUACAAAACAUGAAAGAAAAAAUUAAAUGGCCAAAAAUUGUAUUUCUUAAACUCUUCUAAAAAACUUUCGAGGAAUGAAUAGUAUCUUCUCAUUAAGUUAGAUGAUUUGGAAUUUUCAGCAGAGUGACCAAAGUUUUGUAGAUGUUGUCGCGUUAAUAGUAGGUAAUACUCAUGAACAGGCAACUGACUGGCUGUGGGUCCACCUAGAAGGAUCUGUGAUAUAAAUGUAACAUUUUAUCAUUAAUAUAUUUAGAGUAGAUUUAAUAGUAAAUUCAACUGGACCAUGAGUAUACUCACUGGUAAGGAAAUGAAAGACACAGAAGCUACGUUUUUGUAAAUUACAUUGGGAAUUCUUGCUAAUAAUCUUAAUCAUAACAUUUUGAAAUACUUAAAAUUCUUCUUAAUUCAUGAUAUCAAAGUAAAAAGGAAAAACCAUUUUAUACCCUCCAUAACAUAGUAGCAUUUGUUUGCAGUACCUCCUUGAGAAAAUACUAAGUAAAAAGGGGAAAACUGGCAGAGGAAGGAAAUUUCAUUUACUUUGCUUUAUUUCUACUUUAAGAAAGUUGCAUAUCAUCUCUUUUCUAAAAGAGAAUAUAAUACAUUGAUGGGGAAAUUUUGUUAUUUAGUACCUAUUUCAUAUUGACAUUUUUAAUGGUAAUCAACUGAUUUUUUUUAACAUCCCAUUUUAUUAACAAUAUAAACGUAAAAGGUAAUUUUAUUACUUUCAGGUGCUUCAGAGAAUAAUAAACUAUUUGUUUAACAGAUUUGUUUAAAGUAACAACAAAAUCAUUUUCUUCUAGUUCUCUGGUUUACUGAGUCACUCAGGCUAGAUCCUAAUCUGAAAGUUUCAUGUAUUUUUCCUUUUGAUUAUAUUUUUAUUAAUAAGCAAAGAUCUUUCAUCCAGUUCUACACAUGUUCUCUGAUAAAUUUUUAAAUUAGAUGAUUAAAAACAACUUUAAAGUUUUAAAAUGAUUACAAGUUGAAAAUGCUUGUAACUACCCUGUGUUUUUAACUACGUUACACUGUAGCACAGAAUUCACAAUGAAGUAAAAACUGACUAAAAAAAACUUGAAUGGAUGGCUUAAUUAGAAUAGAUACAUCUAUAUAACAAAAUUGUGCUUUCUAGUUCUUUGACAAUAUUUUUUUCCAAAAAUAAUAAUCAUAAAUAAUACUUUUAAAUCCACACAUCAGAGUACGCACUGAAAUCUAAAACUCUUUUGCUCCUGGCUCUUCCUCAACCUAAAUUAAGAUUGAGUACAAUUUGGUACAAUUAUAAUGUUUCCACAUAGCUAAAACCUUUCAACAAAAGAACUAAUAUUUUAAUAUCUUCUUCAAACAUACAUAAUUUGUAAAUCCUGACACAAUAAGAUAAAUAGUAAUUUAUUUGACCUAGGCAAAAGCAGACCUUAAAGACAUUAUUUGUACAGUGUAGGCUUUUUUUUAAGGUAAUUUCAGGGUUUUAAAUCAUAUUUACCUGUGGCCCCAUAAUAUGUAUUUAUAAUUCCUCCUAUUAUAGCCAUUAGUAGAAUGAGAACAGCAGAAAUAAGUGUUUAGCAAUAUAAUUCUUUAACUCAUAAGGAUAGUAUUUUAUGCAAGUUUAUAGACAAAUGACCUGCAGGAAUUACAGUGAGGCUGAUUUGAUAAGAUCCUACUGAAGACCACUCAUGGAAGACAAUGAUUUUCCAGCCUGCUCCUCAGAUCAAAACAGACGAGGUUCUAACCACCACACACUUUAAGUAGAUCACUUUUACUUUUUAACAUCAAUAUUGGGGCUGAGGAUGUAGCUCAGUGGCACAGUGCCUGCCUGGCAAGUGCAAGGUCCUGAGUUCAGUUCCCAGCACCAAAAUACUAAUCAACAAUCAAUAAAAUUAAGAUUUCUGUUUCAAGCCUCUGACCUAAUUACCUGAUCCAGUCUUGGUGACUUGGAUGAAAUCAUCCUCAUCCUCGUCACAGCUUUCAUAGUUCACUUGUUGGCGGACUCUUUCUGACUGACUUUCAGCUGGAUCGACAUCUUUCUGCUUAUUAUUGAAGCUUCGCAGGGCAACAAGACGAUGAUGUAUUGCUGCAUAAAGAUAUCCUGUGUCUUUAGCACCAGCCUGAGAGAGGAAAAUUAAAUUGUUAGGAAUAUAAAUCACCUACUAAUUACAUUUUACAGAUUUUUAAUUUUCACUAUUAGUAAAGAAAGAAUCGUAGGGCAUAAAUCGAGAUGUUUUAUCUAAAUCUAGAAUAAGUUCUAACAUUCCUACAAGUUAGAUAAAAAAAAAAUCUUGUACCAAAUUUCAUCUUAAACUUUGAGUAGUUCUGUAUAUGCUUUCAAUUGAGGAAAUAAAAUUUUGUAGUUUAAGAUAUUUCUGUUUGAACUUCAGUAUGGUACAACCAUUCUUCCUUCAACUAUUUUACACUGUAAAAUUGUAGAGUUGGAGAAACAAGGCGUCUAUUUCCUUUCCAUUACUUUGGUUAGACACUCUUCUAAGCCACAUAACUUUGUAGAGGAGCAAAACUCACUAGAGCAACUUAUGCUGUUUACCAAAAACACACCACAAGUUCUUGUCUCUCAGUACUGUUCUAUGCUAUUUUAUGGUUGCUGUUAAUAUAAAAAUGAUGAUAACAAGUACCCUUGGUGUAACAGUAACUGCUGUAUUCUGUUUUUAUUAAGUUCUUACAAUACUGUGGGUUCAUUAUUUAUUCCAUUUAUGUUAGCAAAAAUGGGUAGCACAGGCGUUCAAUACUCAUUUCCUUUAACAAACAGAGAAAUUGUGGGUCAGAAAGUAAAAUGAGUUUUCUGGGUUACAGUUACCCAGCAAAUUGCUGGGACUUGAAUCUCAGGUUUUUGUCAUUCAAAUCAGUGGGAUUAAUGGAAUAAAUUAAGAAACACAACAAUAGAAUUCUUUCAUCUACUAAAAGAAAUUUGGAAGAAUAAGCAACUAAUGGCAUGAAAAACACUCAUUUGCAUUAGUAAGUGAAAUUACAUAUGAUUUUUUCCACAAUCACUUUUGUUGUUUAAUCUCAAUAGCUUUAUAAAGUGUAAUAUUAUUGUUACCUUCAUUUGCACAUGAGUAAAUCAAUUUAGGAAGGCUAAGAAACUUGCCUGAAGGCUAUAUAUAUAUUUGAACUUUUUCAGAGUUUGGAAUAUUUACAUACACAUUUGUUUUGUAUAUACCUUAUACACAUAGUCUGAAAGUAAUUUUUUUUUUUUUUUGGUCUUUUUCAUUUUUAUCGGUACUGGGGAUCGAACUCACAACCGCCUGCUUGCAAAGCAGGUGCUUAUGCCACUGAGCUAAACCCCCAGCUCCCUGAAAGUAAUUUUAUACAAUAGUUUUAACAUACCUGUGUUUGGACUGGGACCUGUCACAUGAGAUCAGCUGUGGAAUCUCCCACUUAUAACAACACAUUGGGGAUUUUAGGUUCAAUGUUUGGAGCAUUUUGUAUUUCAAAUUGUUGAUUCAGAAGUGCUCAAUCUACACAGUAUUCAACUAAAAUAUUAAUGAGUACCAUCUCUUAGGCGGAAUAUUGAGCAACUUUUAUUUAAGUUGCUUAUCUCUAAGUAAAGGUUCUACAGUUUAAAAAGUCAGCAUGAGUCAGGUAGUAAGCCGGGAAGUCUAACCACUGUUAACAGUGUUGGUCACUGUUUCUGGCACCCUGCCUUACUCACUUAAAAACCAAGGGAUCUGGCCUGGUCAAGUAUCAAAUAUUCUGCUUCUCAACGGUAAACAUACUUUAAACAUCAUCUUAUCCUAACAUUUUAAAACGUGAUGUCACGUGUACCUGACUGUACACUCACAGUUACUAAAACUUUUGGGUUCUCUUCAGAUCAGCAUAAAUAUUUGCUUUUUAAUCCACUGGGCACAUACUAGAUUUUUUCUCCAUUUUACUACAGGACCAUUUUAUUUGUAUUGUCAUUUUGUCUAAAUUACCUGGAUACUCAGUCUCCUCUAGUUUUCUGGGUUUCCGCCUAUGGGUGAAACACAGCUUUUGAAGGGGAAAGGAAGAAGAGCUUUGUUCUUGGCAGCCUUCUUGUGUCUGGAUCUCAUAUUUGAGGUCAAGCAUUUCUGCUGCCUGGAUGAGCUAAUCUGUGCUUCCAUCCUGUUACCUUGGAAAUUUACUCAUGUUCAGAAUUAGAAUUUGCUGCUGGACUUCUUGUAACUUGCUACUCCUGUGUUUUUCCAUUUUCUCACUGGCUUCUUUCCAGUGAUCGCAAAGAUUUCUCCAUCUCAGCUUGUAGGACAAGCCAUCAGGCUUGGGAUUUUACAGACCACCCUCUGGAGACAUUCCUGACAAUCUGGUUACUUGGAUAAUAUAGCAUAGUGAGAUUGUUGACAUAUGUAAAGUAGUAAUCGACAGAAUAGAUGGCAUAUAUUAAACAAAUGUCUUGGGCUGGAUACCAGUUGAUUAGGCCUUGGGGUAAUUUCUGAAUUCCAUAUACAAUUCAGAUAUUAUAUUAAACUAUAAAAACCAUAAUAAAUGACUACUUUCCUUGCCAACAGGAUAGAUUAUCAUGAUAAAGUGGAAAAAAAUAGAAGUUGUAGAGAUCUAUUAAUAUUCAGUAUUAAUAGGAUAAUCCUUUGUCCUAAAAUUUGUCAUUUACCUGAAUUAAAAAUACUUUGAUGCUACUGUCUUCUAAAUCAGUAGCUGUUAUUUGUAAAUUUCUCUGGUUUGCUCUUUGAAUCUUCAUUUGAGCCCAUAGUUUGCUAUUGAAGAUCAGCCUCAGGCUCCCUUGAUUGCGCAUAACUGUAGCAGAAAAGUGAAUAUUAUCAGUUUACAAUUCUUGAUUCCUUAGCCUUCCAGGAAAGUCACCAUUUUUGAAAGCAAAGUAAAUCUUGCAAUUUUCCAGACUAUAUUUUCACUAUUAAAUUGUAAUUUGACUAGAUUACAACCUGGUGUGCAAAUUGUAUUUGGUGUUUAUUAUGUCGAGAGGGGUUUUUUAAAGCUUAAUGCUACACAUAUUUUUAACAAUAAUAUUUUUUUUACUAUAAUAUUUUUAAAAGGUUAAAUUUUAUAACUUUUAAGGCCUAUUAGUCUGAAGAAUAUUUAUCUAAGAGUUGUUUAAAAUGGAAAAAGUCUGAAAAUCUUAACUACCAAUAAAAAAUUAAAUAAUUAUAGUCCAGCCACGCAAGAGAAUAUCAUGAAACCAUUAAGAAUACUGAAGAAAGACAUUGAUGUGAAAAGAUAAUCAUAAUAGACUAUAUGAAAGAAAAUAUCAGGUUCUGAAACAAUGUAACACCGUGAAUCACAAGUUUGGCAAUCUGUGUACAUAUAUGUAUAUAAAAAGCAAUAUCCACAAGAAGAUACUUUGUUUACAGAGAUUAUCUCAGGAAGACGGGUGAUUUUAUUUUUUCUUUUUGAUCCAGUUGUUUUCUUUUUUAUACAGUGACUAAAUGUUACCUGCAUAAUAAAAUUUGGUUUGGUUUGAAA